UACGUAGGGGGCUAGCGUUGUCCGGAAUCAUUGGGCGUAAAGCGCGUGUAGGCGGCCCGGUAAGUCCGCUGUGAAAGUCGGGGGCUCAACCCUCGAAUGCCGGUGGAUACUGUCGGGCUCGAGUGCGGAAGAGGCGAGUGGAAUUCCUGGUGUAGCGGUGAAAUGCGCAGAUAUCAGGAGGAACACCAAUUGCGAAGGCAGCUCGCUGGGACGUUACUGACGCUGAGACGCGAAAGCCAGGGGAGCAAACGGG
rnacentral:rRNA from 1 species